CCAUGUUGGGUACAACAAAGAAAACAGUAAACCCUGUGUUGUGAUGGUGUGAAUAUUUAUCUGUGGGUAUACAACUCCAGAAUCUAACUGUAAAGGUCCACCAGGUAAAUAUUGCCCACUCUGUUGUCUAGGGAUGUAGUAGGUGUCUUGCUGCAGUCUGUCACCUCUUCCCCAUGCUCUGUGGAGGGUUGCUGAGAGGAGAGACUGGGAGGAAGCAGAAGUGAGUUCUACCAGGAAUCUGACCAGAGGUAGAUGACUUCUCUCUUUGAGAGCAGAAGAUACAAAAGCUCCUCUUCUAUGCAGCCAUCUGUGACCGCUUCCAUUGAGAACCACAGAAGCCCACGGUUUGGGCCAUGGAUGAUGAUAGGGAUGGCUGAGGCAGACAUGGUUGCCCACUUAAGAGGAUUUGCACACCUUCAUUGGAACAGAAAGUGUAUUUCCUCUUUGAUAUUCCUAUGUUUCCCCACCUUUUUUUUUUUCCAGUACCUCCUCAGAGGCCCCAAAUCAAAACAAGACUUGUUGGUGCCAAAAUCCAGCUAAAAGUCACAAACAGACUUUGAUAGGAAUUUUCUGAGGUAAAAUUUUUCAGAAUAGGGUUUGAAAGGUCUGAACUCCUCUCCAGGCCUAAAUAGGUUGGACUUUAGAAGAGACUUCUCUGAAAACAUCCACUCAAUGUGCAGCGGCAGUCAAAAAGGCAAACAGAAUAUUGGGAAUCAUUAAGAAAGGGAUAGAUAAGACAGAAAAUAUGAUAUUGCCUCUAUAUAAAUCCAUGGUACUCCCACAUCUUCAAUACUGCAUGCAACUGUGGUCGCUCCAUCUAAAAAAAAAUAUAUAUUGGACUUGGAAAAAUUCAGAGAAGGGCAACAAAAAUGAUUAGGGGUAUGGAAGGGCUGCUGUGUGAGGAGAUUAAUGACUGGGAGUUUUCAGCUUGGAAAAGAGAUGACUAAUGGGGGAAUAUGUUAGAGGUCUAUAAAAUCAUGACUGGGGUGGAGAAAGUAAAUAAGGAAGUGUUGUUUACUCCUUCUUAUAACACAAGAACUAGGGGCUACCAAAUGAAAUUAAUAGGCAGCAGGCUUAAAACAAACAAAAGGAAGCAUAUUUUCACACAACGCACAGUCAACCUAUGGAACGCCUUGCCAGAGGAUGUUGUGAAGGCAAAGACUAUAACAGGGUUCAAAAAAGAACUAGAUAAAUUCAUGGAGGAUAGGUCCAUCAAUGGCUAUUAGCCAGGAUGGGAAGGGAUGGUGUCUCUAGCCUGUUUGCCAGAAGCUGGGAACGGGCGACAGGGGAUGGAUCACUUGAUGAUUACCUGUUCUGUUCAUUCCUUCUGCGGCACCUGGCAUUGGCCACUGUCAGAAGACAGGAUACUGGGCUAGAUGGACCUUUGGUCUAACCCAUAUGGCCAUUCUUAUGUUCUUCUCAUGACUUUCUGUGGUGGGUUUCUUCCAUAGAGACUAACAGGUACUAAUGCUUUGCAGACGAAGGCUUGUCUGUUUGAGCUGCUGAGAAAGAAGAGUAAUAGUGACAGCUCCUCAGUGGAGUCUAGUCUGCAGUAGUGACUGACAGAAUUAGACCCAGGAGAGACUGAAGAUUGUCUAGGGUGUAUAGGCUUACCUGUGAAAUACAAUUGCUGCUGACAGUAUUAGUUUUUAAAAUGACAGAGCACUAUAAACACCACUGGAGAAAAAUCAGUUUUACAAACAGACUUUCCUCAGGAACAUACCUAAUGGUUUCCUUGGAUCUGCACAAGUUCAUAUUAUGCACACAGGAGAUAGAGAUGCAACUUGCUUAUCACUGAAAUGAUUGUUAGGACUUGAUUUAACUGAUCUGACUUCAACAAAAAUAUCAACUCCUAGGUGGCAGCAGUAUUUAAUGUUAUGGAGCAGCUCACAAGGGAGAUAAAAGGAAAGAGAAUGUAUAGUUUCUAGCUUCUCUUAGGGCCUGCCUAGCACACUUACUGAAGGAGUCUUCAAGAAAGCAAGGGACACGCUACUUCAGUUUUUAGAUCCAUAUGAUGGUGAUUCAGAAGAUGCAUCAACCCACUCAGACUGUAGUUUGAAUUCUCUUAAUGAUAUAAACUAUAACCGAGGUGCACCUUUGGUGCACAAUUUGCCAGAGAUGGUGGAAGACCUUUACUCUUCUGAAAACACAGAGUCCCUACAUAUGUCUUCAAAUUGGGUCUCCCCAAAAACAGAAAUCUGUGAUGUCUAUAUGCAGCCAGUAAAUGACCUUAAAAUACAGAUGGAAGUUAUCACUAAAGAGAAAAGUGAUGUUCCAAUAAGACUUGCCAGGCCAUGUGAACGGUCCAGAACCUCUGGAGUACUUGCCUCUGCAAUGUGGCUGACAUCUGACUGUUCCUUACUCAUGAGUGUUGAGCCUUCAAAAUAUGCCGGAGUCCUAGAAAGCCCAGUCACCACUACUCUGCAACAACCCAUGUUAGCAAAGUCUGAUGGUGAAAAUACAAUGUGUGACCAAUCAAUAAUCAAGAGAAAACUAGGGCUUCCAUUUCUAGAGGGUGUUGGUGAAAAGCUAAGAAGAAAGAAAUUGCGUUCAACCUAAUCUAAGUGAGUGCGCCAUCUUCAGUGAGGCCUGUUCCUGCUUCCUGCAGCUGCUUUGUUCCCAUCGUGAAUGGUCACUUGCAGGUUCAGCCUUGGAUAACUGCCAAAAUGACUCAAAUCACACAAACCAGAAGUUUGGGGGAGCAGAUAAUCCUCAUCAACUUUCAUUUUGCAGGGUCAAACUGACUUUCCCUUUUAUUUGGUGUUGAUAAUGAACUCUAACAGAGCCUGUUUCUUUAACCUUCUCUCCAGUACUGUGCAUGCCAACGUGGGUUUAUAAUGUAAAUACCCAACAGUUGAAGUUCUUCUACAAUGAGGGGUUUUUAUUUUUCCUUUUAGGAGAAUGAUUUUUCUUUCUCAAACCUGCUGUUAAAUAGUGAUCAGGUCCAGGAGAAUAAAUAACCAUUUUAAUUCGCAUGGUUACCUCUUUUUGUCUUCCCUUCCAUAUGGUAUGGGGUAGAUUCUGGGGGGAGUAAUCUAGAGAAGGAGAAAGGGCUCCAUGGAGCCCCGUUGCUCAGCACUAGUAAAACUGUCUCCUACUGAACAAAUGUAGAUGUGUGGGAUUUACCUAGUAGCAGGAAGAGUGAGAGAAGGGUAUUUUGUUGCAGCACCACCCAGAGCUACAGGGAUGUUUGUUUAAACUUUUUUUCAAAUCUACUA